GGCAGCAGCACGCUCCUGUGCUUCUCGGUGCGCGAGAGAGAGAGACAGAGGACCAGUGGGAGUUCACGUGGGCACCAGGCGCCAUGCCAGGCUUCCCAUUCCCAAUUAAUAUUGCGGAGCACUGGUCGGCAACAGUGGCACAUGGUAGAUCGGAAAAAGAAACAAAACAAACAAUGCUCUUCGUUUUCCUAAUGAUCUCUGCACCGCGGCGAAACAGAGGAGAGUGGGCGGCAUGUGGAAGGGGCGAGCGGGCGGAUACGAGGAUCGGGUGGCGUGAUCACCCCCCCGCCCCCCCUCUUCCUCCAUCAUCUCCUGGGAAUCCCUCCACAGGCUUCCGCGGCGUUUAAGGAAGGCUGCCCCAACCAUGGCUUUCCUCUUCCGUGCUCGAUGGGCAACAUCGAGGCUCUUCGGACAGGUACCAAGGCCGGUUCACAUGUCCCCUGUAGCACCAAGUACUCUCAAAGUGGCCUCCCCAUUUGCUCCGUGUUCAUCUCCUAGGUUUACUUCGUAAAGUACUCCUGUGUUUGGUUGCAUGUGUCUACGUCUAUUCCGUUAUAUUCUCUCUCAUACUACCAGCAAAAUCUAUUUACCAUGGAUUCAA